rnacentral:misc_RNA from 1 species
GAUGAAGAACGCAGCGAAAUGCGAUAAGUAGUGUGAAUUGCAGAAUUCCGUGAAUCAUCGAAUCUUUGAACGCACAUUGCGCCUUCUGGUAUUCCGGAAGGCAUGCCUGUUCGAGAGUCAUUAACAACCGUUUCGAUCCCUUUCUUUCAGAAAUUACAAAGAGGAAAAGGGUUUGGUUAUGGGGGAGGAGGGAAAGGGAGCGUUUAGCCUGUAAAAAAAGAGGCUGUGUUCCGCCUCCCCCCCAAAAUUGUACAGGCGGUCGUGUGCGCCCACGCAUCGAGGUGUUGUAAAAGCUGCCACGGCACUUUUCACCUGUGCAGUGCGAGAUUGGCCAGCCGGUUUAAAAACCCCUCCAAACAAUCAAAGGUUGACCUCGGAUCAGGUAGGGAUACCCGCUGAACUUAAGCAUAUCAAUAAGCGGAGGA